rnacentral:lncRNA from 1 species
GCAUUUUUCACUCUCGCCAGAGAUAUCAAAGCAAAAAUGGACAAAAAAUUGGAAGGCAACAGCCCCCAGGGGAGCAACCAGGGAGUCAAAAUCACACCGGACCAGCAGAAGAGGAGCAGCUUUUUCCGAUGUGUUCUUCUGUGAGGAACACCGCCUUACUCUGAGCCUCGCUCAGCCCAGCUGACUGUGCCUGUUCUGAGUGAGCCCCUCACUCAGCCGGGGCCCUCCCACCUCCAACGCCCCGCCCACGCCGCGGCCACCGGGCCCACGGCCACCAGAAUGCAAUUGAGAAAUCGUUUAUUUUAGUAACUGUCUGAUCUUUUUCAACUUUGGAGAUGGAAUAAGUUAAAAAUUUGCUAUUUUUCCUGUAACAUCUGCUGAACGGGCCCACCCACACGUUGUAUAUUCAGAGAGAGAGAGGGAGUCAAGGUGUGACCGUCGACCACAGCCAGUGUCAGGCCUCUGCCUCUGGGCCUUUGCUUUGUGGCCUCACUGCAACACAAAGCUCCACCAGGAGGCUGGUUCACGUCCCCUACCACGGAAGCGAGGUCCCAGAAGGCCAGCGGUGGUUCCAGGAGCAACAGCUCCCAAACCCUGAGCAAGGCAACCGAUCGCCAGGACCAGGAAGCAUCACCCAGGAGAUUUGGCGCCCACUUCCACCUCUUCUCUCAGUUUUGGACAAGUGACAAACCAUUUUGCCCCCUCACUCUUCUUUUUUAACUGUUAAACCAAAGGAAAGCACAAAUGAAGGAAAUCCUGUGUAAAGCAUUGAGAAGGAAAGAAGCCUGGAGCAGCCUCUCCUGUCCACAGCCAGGGGUUAGGUCUGCAGGCCCGUCUGCGGUCCCCAUCGAGCAUCAAGGGGACGCUGUGUGUGCUGCAAGUGACCCCGAAAACAACCACAGCCGUCACAUGGUCCUCCUGAAGUUGGGGCACCCUCCUCUCAGCACCAAAAUGGCCCCCACUCCUUCGUGUCCUCCCGCUAUCUCCAAAUCGGACGUUCUUUCUAGCUGAGAUUUUUAUUUUUCCACAUCUGUAGUGCCAUGAAGCGAUUCUGUCUUUGACUUCCAAUGGCAAACCUGGGUGAUCGGGAACAAGCACGUUGUACCCUUGGCUGGACAUGGCCAAGACACAAGGCAUUCCACGGCGGCAAGCUGACCGCACAGCAGUCUGGCUUGAUUUUCAGCCGUCAUCAUUGGGUUCUGUUUUGACAGCUCUGCUGUCCCAUAGGGACUGCGACUGGGACCAGGUCAACCACGCCAGGGGGGUGUCACCAGCCUUUUCUUUUUUUCUUUCUUUUUUUUUUUUUCCUCCUUAAGCUGCUGUCAAUCCAAACCAUUGGCAUCAUCGUUUCUUUUGAAUUAAAACCAACAUAUCAGCAAUAGUCUGCUCUCCCCGGGAAUCUCUAACAUGCUCUGUUUACAUCGAUAAAUGCACUUAAGGAAAACAAACAAAUUAAAG